UUUGACCCGCCUCCUGCGUGUGCGUGCGUCACGUCACGUCUCCCUCUCCUCCCUUCCACCGCCCGCGCCCGUGGGCGCGGCCCCCAACCGAUCCGAUCUGUCUCGACUCCAUUAAAAAAAAUCCCAAUCUCCCUCCCUCUCAUUUCUCUCAUCAUCUGAAAAUAAAAGAAAAUUCCGCCCCUUUCUUCCAUCUCCGCUCCUCCGAGCGGGACAAGCUCCCGAUUCGAUCGGCCGCGUUUCCGUUCUUCUCUGAUUCGCGGCGGGGGCGGGGGGCGAGAGAGAUGAGGAAGCGUGAGCGCGAGAACCCGUGCGGGAUCUGCGGGCACUACCACAAGUACGAGGAGGGGGAGGUGUGCGGCGUCUGCGGCCACCGCCCGCCCGCGGCGCCGGCGGCGGCGGGGGCGAGGCAGCUGGACUCCGCGUUCCCGUCGGAGAUCCUCAAGGAGUUCCUCUUCCUCGGCAGCUACGACAACGCCUCCCGCUCCGAGCUCCUCAAGACCAUCGGGGUCUCGCACAUCCUCAAUGUUCUUGCAAAUCAUUUAGAAACAAGGGAAAAACAACUGGAAGAUGUCAUGAUAGAAGCUAUCCCUUCACCUCCUGACUGUACCAUUAUGCCAAAACCUGUACCGGAAUUCAUUCACUUAUCACUGCCUUCAAGAGGACAAAACUCUGCAGUUUGAUGAUGCAAUCCAGUUUCUAGAACAAUGUGAGAGGGAGAAAGCACGUGUCCUUGUGCAUUGCAUGUCAGGGAAAAGUAGAUCGGCAGCAUUUGUUAUAGCCUUCUUGAUGAAAUCAAGGGGGUGGAGACUGGCACAAUCUUUUCAGUGGGUGAAAGAACGGAGACCACAAGUACAACUAUCUGAUGGGGCACAGCAGCAGUUGAUUGAGUACGAAACGAAGCUUUUUGGUUCCAAUGUCAGCAUACCUGCUCCAUCUUUUACUCCAGCAGAUUCUUUUCCUUCUCUUGGAUUUGGUUUUCCUAAACCAGCAGGUGAAAUCCAAGUGCCUACCUUUAACCAGCAGGCUCCAGCAUCCAUCUUUGAGCGUGUCAGCCCAAACAACUUCCCUAGUAAUUUCACAUUCGGAGCUGAAAGAACCAAUGAAGCGAAGCUUCCAGAUAGCAAUAGUUUCGGUGUGAUGAACUCGUCUGGUGGCGAUAGCAUGAUGGACAGCUCCUAAAAUUGUUUUGCUUGUGCCAGUGACAUUUGAUACGGCAGGCUCCAGCAUCCACCUUUGAGCUGUCAGCCCAAACAACUACCACAGUAAUUUCACACUCGGAGCUGAAAGACCUAAUGAAGUGAAACUUCCAGAUAGCAGUAGUUUCGGUGUGAUAAACUUGUCUGGUGGGGAUAGCAUGAUGGACAGCUCCUAGAAUUGUUUUGCUUGUGCCAGUGGCAUUGAUACAUGAAAGGAAUGAAUCGAUUGCAAAUUUAAUCUGGUUUCUCGGGAUGUUUUUGACUUCUGAGAAGGAAAUGCAUUUUUGUAAAAGGAUGUUAUGAUAUAUGCCAGCACUCGGACGGUACUGUGCGUUUUAACAAACAUGCAUCUGCUUUUUUGUGGUA